ACCAAAUGGAGUAACGACAGGUUUCAUGAUGUCAACCAGGAAUCCCACUGAGGGCUUUUGUUCUGAAGUAGGACAGCUCCUUCAGCUAGAGCAACUGAGGCACAGACUCCAAGCAAGAAAUUCAAGUUCACACCAGAACUGUCCGGCAGAGUUUGAAAAUGUAAAGCCAAGAAAAUCCAAGUACCCCCGGUGACUCUGCUAGUCUUGUCCUUCCUC